rnacentral:rRNA from 1 species
UACAGAGGGUGCGAGCGUUGUUCGGAAUUAUUGGGCGUAAAGAGCGUGUAGGCGGCCAGGUAGGUCUGCUGUGAAAACUCGAGGCUCAACCUCGAGACGUCGGCGGAAACCAUCUGGCUAGAGUCCGGAAGAGGAGAGUGGAAUUCCUGGUGUAGCGGUGAAAUUCGUAGAUAUCGGGAGGAACGCCAGUGGCGAAGGCGGCGAUCUGGGAAGAUACUGACGCUGAGGUGCGAAAGCGUGGGGAGCAAACAGG